rnacentral:rRNA from 1 species
GAUGAACGCUAGCGGGAGGCCUAACACAUGCAAGCCGAGCGGUAUUGUUUCUUCGGAAAUGAGAGAGCGGCGUACGGGUGCGGAACACGUGUGCAACCUGCCUUUAUCUGGGGGAUAGCCUUUCGAAAGGAAGAUUAAUACUCCAUAACAUAUUGAUUGGCAUCAAUUAAUAUUGAAAGCUCCGGCGGAUAGAGAUGGGCACGCGCAAGAUUAGCUAGUUGGUGAGGUAACGGCUCACCAAGGCGAUGAUCUUUAGGGGGCCUGAGAGGGUGAUCCCCCACACUGGUACUGAGACACGGACCAGACUCCUACGGGAGGCAGCAGUGAGGAAUAUUGGUCAAUGGGUGCAAGCCUGAACCAGCCAUCCCGCGUGAAGGACGACUGCCCUAUGGGUUGUAAACUUCUUUUGUAUAGGGAUAAACCUACCCUCGUGAGGGUAGCUGAAGGUACUAUACGAAUAAGCACCGGCUAACUCCGUGCCAGCGGCCGCGGUAAUACGGAGGGUGCAAGCGUUAUCCGGAUUUAUUGGGUUUAAAGGGUCCGUAGGCGGACUUAUAAGUCAGUGGUGAAAGCCUGUCGCUUAACGAUAGAACUGCCAUUGAUACUGUAAGUCUUGAGUAUAUUUGAGGUAGCUGGAAUAAGUAGUGUAGCGGUGAAAUGCAUAGAUAUUACUUAGAACACCAAUUGCGAAGGCAGGUUACCAAGAUAUAACUGACGCUGAGGGACGAAAGCGUGGGGAGCGAACAGGAUUAGAUACCCUGGUAGUCCACGCCGUAAACGAUGCUAACUCGUUUUUGGGCUUUAGGGUUCAGAGACCAAGCGAAAGUGAUAAGUUAGCCACCUGGGGAGUACGCUCGCAAGAGUGAAACUCAAAGGAAUUGACGGGGGCCCGCACAAGCGGUGGAUUAUGUGGUUUAAUUCGAUGAUACGCGAGGAACCUUACCAAGACUUAAAUGGGAAUUGACAGCUUUAGAAAUAGAGCUUUCUUCGGACAAUUUUCAAGGUGCUGCAUGGUUGUCGUCAGCUCGUGCCGUGAGGUGUUAGGUUAAGUCCUGCAACGAGCGCAACCCCUGUCACUAGUUGCCAUCAUUCAGUUGGGGACUCUAGUGAGACUGCCUACGCAAGUAGAGAGGAAGGUGGGGAUGACGUCGAAUCAUCACGGCCCUUACGUCUUGGGCCACACACGUAAUACAAUGGCCGGUACAGAGGGCAGCUACACAGCGAUGUGAUGCAAAUCUCGAAAGCCGGUCUCAGUUCGGAUUGGAGUCUGCAACUCGACUCUAUGAAGCUGGAAUCGCUAGUAAUCGCGCAUCAGCCAUGGCGCGGUGAAUACGUUCCCGGGCCU